AUUAUCCAUUUCCCCCACGUUUCGAACAAUAAAAGCAGUGAAAAUAUGCAAAAACAGAACAAUCUGCCAUUAUGCACUUCCUUCUUCAUUCUUCCUUGCUUCUUCUCGCAUAACAGCUCUCACAUAUAUUUCAUAACAACAUCCUGUAAAUAUAGAUUAGGAAGAUCAGAAUGACGGUUUAGUAUUAAACAGUCAGCAGAUAAAUGUUCUACGAAAAGAUUCAUAACAAUUGUAAAUUGCAC
rnacentral:lncRNA from 1 species